rnacentral:rRNA from 1 species
UCCAGACUCCUACGGGAGGCAGCAGUGGGGAAUAUUGCACAAUGGGGGAAACCCUGAUGCAGCAACGCCGCGUGAGUGAAGAAGUAUUUCGGUAUGUAAAGCUCUAUCAGCAGGGAAGAAGAUGACGGUACCUGACCAAGAAGCCCCGGCUAACUACGUGCCAGCAGCCGCGGUAAUACGGAGGAUGCGAGCGUUAUCCGGAUUUAUUGGGUUUAAAGGGUGCGCAGGCGGAAGAUCAAGUCAGCGGUAAAAUGGAGAGGCUCAACCUCUGCGAGCCGUUGAAACUGGUUUUCUUGAGUGAGCGAGAAGUAUGCGGAAUGCGUGGUGUAGCGGUGAAAUGCAUAGAUAUCACGCAGAACCCCGAUUGCGAAGGCAGCCUUCCGGCGCCCUACUGACGCUGAGGCACGAAAGUGCGGGGAUCGAACAGGAUUAGAUACCCUAGUAA